rnacentral:rRNA from 1 species
GGUUCGAUUAUGGCUCAGAAUUGAACGCUGGCCGGGAUGCUUUACACAUGCAAGUCGAACGGCAGCACGGACUUCAGUCUGGUGGCGAAGUGGCGAACAGGUGAGUAAUGUCAGAACGUGCCUAGUAGCGGGGAUAACUACUGCGAAAGCGUAGCUAAUACCGCACAUACGCCCUUCGAAGGAAAGCAGGGACCUUCGGGCCUCGCACUAUUAAACGGCCGAUAUCGGAUUCAGCUGGUUGGUGGGAGUAACGGCUCGCAAGGCGACGAUCCGUAGCUGGUUUUGAGAGGACGACGACCACACUGGGACGAGACACGGCCCGAACUCUACGGAGAACAGCAGUGAAAUUUUGAGACGUGGAAACCUGAUCCAGCCAUCCCGCGUGUGCGAUGAAGGCCUUCGGGUUGUGUAAAAACGCCUUGGCAGGAAAAGAAACGGCACGGGAUAAUACCCGUGCAACUGACCAGUACCUGCAGAACAAGCACCGGCCUAACUACGUGCCAGCAGCCGCGGUAAUACGUAGGGUGCAAGCGUUAAUCGGAAUUACUGGGCGUAAAGCGUGCGCAGGCGGUUCCGGAAGAAGAUGUAAUCCCAGAGCUUAACUUUGGAACUGCAUUUUUAACGCUACCGAGCUAGGUGUGUCAGAGGGAGGUGGAAUUCCACUUGUGUAGCAGUGAAAUGCGUAGAUAUGCGGAGGAACACCGAUAGCGAAGGCAGCCUCCUGGGAUAACACUGACGCUCAUGCACGAAAAGCGUGGGGGUGAAACAGGAUUAGAUACCCUGGUAGUCCACGCCCUAAACGAUGUCAACUAGCUGUUGGGGCCUUCGGGCCUUGGUACUUCGCAACUAACGCGUGAAGUUGACCGCCACAGGAGAUACAGUCGCAGAUUAAAACUCAAAGGAAUUGACGAGGACCCGCACAAGCGGUGGAUGAUGUGGAUUAAUUCGAUACAACGCGAAAAACCUUACCUACCCUUGACAUGUCUGGAAUCCCGAAGAGAUUUGGGAGUGCUCGCAAAGAAGGGAACCGGAACACAGGUGCUGCGCGGCUGUCGUCAGCUCGUGUCGUGAGAUGUUGGGUUAAGUCCGCAACAGGCGCAACCCUUGUCAUUAGUUGCUACGAAAGGGCACUCUAAUGAGACUGCCGGUGACAAACCGGAGGAAGGGUGGGGAUGACGUCAGAAUCCUCAUGGCCCUUAUGGUGGGCUUCACACCACGUCAUACAAUGGUCGAGACAGAGGGUCGCCAACCCGCGAGGGGAGCCAAUCCCAGAGAAACCCGAUCGUAGUCCGGAUCGCAGUCUGCGGCUCGACUGCGUGAAGUCGGAAUCGCUAGUAAUCGCGGAUCAGCAUGUCGCGGUGAAUACGUUCCCGGGUCUUGUACACACCGCCCACGUCACACCAUGGGAGUGGGUUUGCAAGUAGUUAGCCUAACCGUAAGGAGGGCGAUUACCACGGUAGGAUUCAUGACUGGGAGGUGAAGUCAACAAGGUAG